AUCCUAUCCUAGGUUUAAACUAAGAAAAUAUAUUUUGACAACUCUUUAUUACUAACAGCGUUAUUGUUCUCGAAAAAGAAUGGUAAUGGGCGACAGGCUUGUUAUUUGCUCACACAAUGUGCCACAAAGAGCGAAAUACACCGAUGAAAAAUAGAGCAGCACAACAACAUUGCGAUGUGCAGAACGACCGCACAAAGAAAAACUUUAAAUCGAAAGAUCUGUGCACUAAGAGCUGCAAAAUUUCACACAAAGAGUCACCUUGAAGAGCCACUUUUUAGUGCAUCCAUUCACUGAAAAACAGAUUCACACCACGUACUAGCGACUCCGUUAACAAAAAAUCAUGUCAAAAUACGGAGAGGUGAAUAGUAUUACUGAAGAUACUUGGAGGAACUUCUUCUCAGGACUCCGGAACGGCACUCGUGUGGUGAGAAUGGGUCCGACAAAACACAUUCAAGCAAGCUGCGUCAGCAGGAGCCGAUGGACACAUGAAAGUUUAUUUUAAUUUAUACAUAUUGUAAAAAUCAUAAAAGACCCACGACUCAGUUAUGCCAACGCAUAGAGCUGUGUCAAAUAAACAAGGAAAAAAUGAGAUGUAUCGAAUAGUAAUUAACCACGUAACCAUUAACAACGUAAUUUUAAAAAGGAACAUCAGUGAUAAAUUCACGAUUAGCAAAAUUAUGAAUAAUCCACUGGAAAUGAUGAGCCCAAUGUACAGGGAAAAUUCAUCAAUGAACAAUGCUCUGUACACUUUCCAAAAUGUAUGUGGUCC